rnacentral:rRNA from 1 species
AUUGAACGCUGGCGGCAUGCUUUACACAUGCAAGUCGAACGGCAGCGCGGGCUUCGGCCUGGCGGCGAGUGGCGAACGGGUGAGUAAUGCAUCGGAACUUGCCCAGUAGUGGGGAUAGCCCGGCGAAAGCCGGAUUAAUACCGCAUACGACCUGAUGGUGAAAGCGGGGGACCGAAAGGCCUCGUUCUAUUGGAGCGGCCGAUGUCGGAUUAGCUAGUUGGUGGGGUAAAGGCUUACCAAGGCGACGAUCCGUAGCUGGUCUGAGAGGACGACCAGCCACACUGGGACUGAGACACGGCACAGACUCCGACGGGAGGCAGCAGUGGGGAAUUUUGGACAAUGGGGGCAACCCUGAUCCAGCCAUGCCGCGUGAGGGAAGAAGGCCUUCGGGCUGUAAACCGCUUUUGUUCGGGAAGAAAUCCUCUGGGCUAAUACCCCGGGGGGAUGACGGUACCGGAAGAAUAAGCACCGGCUAACUACGUG